UACGUAGGGCGCAAGCGUUAUCCGGAAUUAUGGGGCGUAAAGAGCUCGUAGGCGGUUUGUCGCGUCUGCCGUGAAAGUCCGGGGCUCAACUCCGGAUCUGCGGUGGGUACGGGCAGACUAGAGUGAUGUAGGGGAGACUGGAAUUCCUGGUGUAGCGGUGAAAUGCGCAGAUAUCAGGAGGAACACCGAUGGCGAAGGCAGGUCUCUGGGCAUUAACUGACGCUGAGGAGCGAAAGCAUGGGGAGCGAACAGG
rnacentral:rRNA from 2 species